AUGAUAUCAAAGAAUUGACUUCAUUCUAACAGUAUUUUGCUACUAACCAAAGUAACAUUAUAGUGUUUAUCUAAAUGUUAUAUGCAGUUACUGUGCCUAUGUAAAUCCUAAUUAGUAGUUAAAGUGAGAUGUAUGUUCUUAUUUUUCUAAUUUAAAAAAUAUAGACGGGGCCAGGUGCGGUGGCUCACGCCUGUAAUCCCAGCACUUUCGGAGGCCGAGGCAGGUGGAUCACGAGGUCAGGAGAUCGAGACCAUCCUGCCCAACAUGGUGAAACCCCGUCUCUACUAAAAAUACAAAAAUUAGCCAGGAGUGGUGGUGGGCACCUUAGUCCCAGCUACUCGAGAGGC
rnacentral:lncRNA from 1 species